rnacentral:rRNA from 1 species
UACGUAGGCAGCAAGCGUUGUUCGGAAUUAUUGGGCGUAAAGAGUGUGUAGGCGGUGCUCCAAGUCUGGUGUGAAAUCUCCCGGCUUAACUGGGAGGGUGCAUUAGAAACUGGAAUGCUAGAGGAUGGGAGAGGUAAGCGGAAUUCCUGGUGUAGCGGUGAAAUGCGUAGAUAUCAGGAGGAACACCUGUGGUGUAGACAGCUUACUGGACCAUUUCUGACGCUGAGACACGAAAGCGUGGGUAGCAAACAGG